UCAGGGCCGCCAAGGCGGGGGAGGCCGAUCCGAGCAGCACUAACACGUCCUCUUCCUCCUUCAACUCCAAGGUCUCGGAUUUGACGAACAUCCUACCGAAGAGAGAAAGGGGAAAAAGGCAGUGAGGUGUAAGGAAAGAAACAGAGGCGCGAUCUUCGUGUCACAGGGGCGUGCUCCGGCGCGCACCCGAGAAGACCAGCUCCGAAUGGCGCGGAGCAGGAAGGCGAAGGAAGAAACCCAGGCAGUGCUAACCAAGGGAGGUAACAAGGAGGAUUGGAAGGCACAAAGUAAAGAAAAUGAAAAUUAGAAACUUGUGAAAAGGAGCAUUACCCAUUGCAGUUCUUCAAACUUCAGACUUCCUUCUGUCUUGGAAUUACUUGAAAACUAUCAUGAUUUCCACUUUGCUCUUUGAUGUUUGUGUUUUCAUAUUCUCCCUUUUUAAAGCAAAUUCCCAAAAUAUAAAAGCAUCAUUUGCCAGUUUCCUCCUCGACUAUUUUAGAACAGCUAAAUUUCAUGUGUUAGAAGUGCAGAAAUGAAAAUGAAAGAAGAAAAGAGAGACACUUUCAAUGUUUCUAGCACACAACACCUGCCUCUCACAUAUCUUUGGGUUUCUGUCUAUCAUGAACCUGCAGAAUCAGAACCUCAUAAAAAGUCUGACCAAGCAAAAAUUAUGCUAGAAGUGCUU
ensembl:lncRNA NEUROG2-AS1 NEUROG2 and ZGRF1 antisense RNA 1